CCUACGGGAGGCAGCAGUGAGGAAUAUUGGUCAAUGGACGAGAGUCUGAACCAGCCAAGUAGCGUGAAGGAUGACUGCCCUAUGGGUUGUAAACUUCUUUUAUAUGGGAAUAAAAUGUUCCACGUGUGGGAUUUUGUAUGUACCAUAUGAAUAAGGAUCGGCUAACUCCGUGCCAGCAGCCGCGGUAAUACGGAGGAUACGAGCGUUAUCCGGAUUUAGUGGGUUUAAAGGGAGCGUAGGUGGAUUGUUAAGUGAGUUGUGAAAGUUUGCGGCUCAACCGUAAAAUUGCAGUUGAAACUGGCAGUCUUGAGUACAGUAGAGGUGGGCGGAAUUCGUGGUGUAGCGGUGAAAUGCUUAGAUAUCACGAAGAACUCCGAUUGUGAAGGCAGCUCACUGGACUGCAACUGACACUGAGGCUCGAAAGUGUGGGUAUCAAACAGGAUUAGAUACCCGGGUAGUC
rnacentral:rRNA from 1 species